CCGGGCAGCGGCGGACGCAGAGAGGGAGGGAGCGGGCACACAUCCGGGCCUCCGCCGCGCUCCGCACCGCCACAGCGCCCGCGGACGGAGCGGGGGAUCCCGGAGCGCAGGUGGGGCCGUCCCGUCCCGUCCCGUUGGCGGAGAGGCGGAACUUCGGCCGAAGUUGCGCGGCGCGGAGAGACGGGAGAGAAACAUCAGAAGUUCUGCAGUGAAACGGCCAUGGGUUGCACUAUCACACCUCUAAUCGAUUGCUGCCUCCAUAGAACUGGCACAAAAGGUGUGCAAAGUUCGAAGCAGCAGAUGGCUGAGAUUCUUCUCCAAUGUAAGGGACACCAAAGUCUAUUGUUUUGACCUUUGCCAACUUAUAGGAAGGGGUGACGGGUCUGCGUGGCUGGGAUGAGCAGCUGGAAAGAAGGAGCUCAGUAACAGUGGGCUUUGGGAGUGGAAAAGAGACAGAGAGGGGAGCGUGUGGCUCAGCCCCAUCUGCCAGGAGGCUCGAGCUGAGUGUUGUGCUCGUGUUGAUGAGAAAGAGCGAGGGGAUCCAGCUGCUUGAUGGGUCAGCUGGUGUUUGGAAGCAUAACGGGUUUGGGUUAUUGCAUUGCUGGAGCCCACGAGUUCUCCCACGCAGCGCUGCCCGUGCAGUGUGUGAAGGACGUUGCUCUGCUCACUGGGUUCCCAUUCCCAGCUGGAGGAGCUGGCCAUGCUUUUCUCCCACACUUUGAAAGAGUGGAGCUUGACAGCUCGGAGCUGCCCAGCAAAAAUACAGGGGAAUUUGCUACCUGCCCCUUGCAGGUGGUGUCUGUGCUCCUAAUUUUGCACGGCGUGAGCUGUCCCCUCCUGGCAGCACCUCUCCUUUUGCUCUUGCUCAUGAGGGUGCAGCCGGGCUCAGCGCUGCUGGGAGUGUCCCCCACGGAGGAGCAGGCGGUGCUUUUCAUCACUUCUUCCAAAUGCAGCUCCCAGCCCGGCCUGAGUCACGUACAGAAGUGCAAAACAGGGAUCCUCCUGUUUUCCUCCAAUUGGCAGUGCUGGCGGUGGGGGUGUUGCAGUCGAUCCGCGCCCUGCCCUGCGCUGCGGGAGAAACCAGGCGCACAGAGUGGGGAAAAGAGGUGCGAGGGGAAACAGGAGCAGUGCCAGCAGCUGGCUGAGCCCAGGGCCAGCUGGCAGCAAGAGGAGCUCCACGGCUGAUCCUGCUGAGAGCCCCUGAGAUACAGAGCUCUAUGGGAACUGAGACCACUUGACUGCACUCAGCACCUUUCAGGAGCAGCCCUAGGUAACUGUUCUCAUUCUCAGCAUGGAUUGUGGGUGAAGUUUGUUCUGAGUUCUGCAGACAAGCCUCAGUGAUACUCCUCGCUGUCCGUUCCGUGGAUCUGUUAACCCGUUCUGCUCAGGUCGCAGAACCCACUGUACUCUGUGACAAAUGAGUGCCUUGCUUACCCCCACACUGAGCUGCUUUGCACCUCCUGACCUCAGCCCAACAGCAUUUCAUUUUUCCAGGUCUCCACGAGAGUGGUGGUGCCACGUGAGAACCAGCAGACCAAGGUGGCUGGAUGGAAGCAGCAGGACUGGGGACAGGCUGGUGGUUGGACUCGAUGAUCUUAGUGGUCAUUUCCAACCUUAACGAUUCUGUGAUUCUGUGAUUUAUUCUAAUCCCAUUGGGAUUGUUCUUGUGCUGCACCACAGACAUGAACUCUCCUCCUUUGCCCAGAGGCUGGAUGGAGCAGAGGCUGUUGCUGGAAGCCAGGUCCCAAACUUUCCUGGCUACAUAGAUUUUUGUUCCCCUAAAAGCCAUCACUCUGUAGAUCAGUGACUUGACACUACAAUAAUAACCAGUGCUCCAAAGAAAUCACGACUGCAUCACCUCCCUCCCAAAAAAACCAAACAAAUCUCCUUUAGUUCCAGGGAGGGAAUUUCUCCAUCACCAUUCUGGCAGUGCUGGAUGGCUGUUCUGCUGAGGAGGUCUGAAUUUAACUUGCAGAAAGCUGGAAAAACAAUUACAAUUUUUUUUUUUUUCACUCUCAUCAGAAGCGAUCAAAGGCUGAAAAUUGUAGAAUCAUGGAAAUCUUAGAGUGGCUUGUGUUGGAAGGGACCUUAAAGAUCACAGGACCAUAGAAUCACAGAAUGGUUGAGUUGGAAGGGAUGCUAAAGCCUCCCAGUCCCACCCCCCCAUCAGAUCCCGCUGUCCAGAGCCCCAUCCUACCCAGCUUGCUUCAUGGCAGACAAAUGGAAACCCAAGAGUUAAGCUGUGCCCUGCUCCAUAUCCCGGUGUAGUUUCACUGGUGCCACGGGGCCAUGCACGGGACCACGAGCAGGGUUUGCUCCGAGCUUCCUUCUUCCCAAAGCUCGGGAUGCGAGCUUGAAAAGCGAGGUUCUGACGGCUGAGUUUGAAGAGAACUGAGUGAGAGUGAAGCCAGCAGGACGCUAUGGAUGUUACUCUGAAACACUGAGGAUGAAUGAUUUCCUGUAGGGCUGGCUUCCUGAGCACGCUUAUAUUCCUUAUUAAAUUCUGCGUGCCGAUAAAAGUAUCAGCUGGCAGAGGGUUAUAAUUUUUAACCCUCUCUGUAGGGUUCCUCCACAAAAAGCUGGUUAAUAAAAGCUAGCAAGCUGAACCCCGGCUCUCA
rnacentral:lncRNA from 1 species